rnacentral:rRNA from 1 species
UACGUAGGGGGCUAGCGUUGUCCGGAAUCAUUGGGCGUAAAGCGCGCGUAGGCGGCCAGAUAAGUCCGGUGUGAAAGCCACAGGCUCAACCUGUGAAUGCCGCUGGAAACUGUCUGGCUAGAGUCCGGGAGGGGCGAGUGGAAUUCCUGGUGUAGCGGUGAAAUGCGUAGAUAUCGGGAGGAACACCAGUGGCGAAGGCGGCUUUCUGGUCUGCUCUUGACGCUGAGGCGCGAAAGCUAGGGUAGCAAACGGG